GAACGCUGGCGGCGUGCUUAACACAUGCAAGUCGAACGAUGAACCUGGAGCUUGCUCUAGGGAAUUAGUGGCGAACGGGUGAGUAACACGUGAGUAACCUGCCCUUGACUCUGGGAUAACCUCCGGAAACGGAAGCUAAUACCGGAUAUGACGCACGGAGGCAUCUCCUGUGCGUGGAAAGAACUUCGGUCAAGGAUGGACUCGCGGCCUAUCAGGUAGUUGGUGAGGUAACGGCUCACCAAGCCUACGACGGGUAGCCGGCCUGAGAGGGUGACCGGCCACACUGGGACUGAGACACGGCCCAGACUCCUACGGGAGGCAGCAGUGGGGAAUAUUGCACAAUGGGCGCAAGCCUGAUGCAGCAACGCCGCGUGAGGGACGACGGCCUUCGGGUUGUAAACCUCUUUUAGUAGGGAAGAAGCGAAAGUGACGGUACCUGCAGAAAAAGCACCGGCUAACUACGUGCCAGCAGCCGCGGUAAUACGUAGGGUGCGAGCGUUGUCCGGAAUUAUUGGGCGUAAAGAGCUCGUAGGCGGUCUGUCGCGUCUGCUGUGAAAACCCGAGGCUCAACCUCGGGCCUGCAGUGGGUACGGGCAGACUAGAGUGCGGUAGGGGAGAAUGGAAUUCCUGGUGUAGCGGUGGAAUGCGCAGAUAUCAGGAGGAACACCGAUGGCGAAGGCAGUUCUCUGGGCCGUAACUGACGCUGAGGAGCGAAAGCGUGGGGAGCGAACAGGAUUAGAUACCCUGGUAGUCCACGCCGUAAA
rnacentral:rRNA from 1 species